UACGGAAGGCAGCAGUGGGGAAUAUUGCACAAUGGGCGCAAGCCUGAUGCAGCCAUGCCGCGUGUAUAAAGAAGGCCUUCGGGUUGUAAAGUACUUUCAGUCGUGAGGAAGGUGUUAAGGUUAAUAACCUUAGCAAUUGACGUUAGCGACAGAAGAAGCACCGGCUAACUCCGUGCCAGCAGCCGCGGUAAUACGGAGGGUGUGAGCGUUAAUCGGAAUUACUGGGCGUAAAGGGCACGCAGGCGGUUAAUUAAGUUGGAUGUGAAAUCCCCGGGCUUAACCUGGGAAUGGCAUUCAAGACUGGUUAGCUAGAGUCUUGUAGAGGGGGUAGAAUUCCAUGUGUAGCGGUGAAAUGCGUAGAGAUGUGGAGGAAUACCGGUGGCGAAGGCGGCCCCUGGACAAAGACUGACGCUCAUGUGCGAAAGCGUGGGGAGCAAACAGGGAUUAGAUACC
rnacentral:rRNA from 1 species